rnacentral:rRNA from 1 species
UAGUAAGCGGAGGAAAAGGAACUAAAUAGGAUUCCCUCAGUAAUGGCGAAUGAACAGGGAUGAGCUCAGGCUGGAAACCGAUACAUCUGUGUCGGGCUGUAGCCUGCAGGCAUAGCGCUAUCGGCGGCUCGAGCGCAAGCCUCUUGGAAUAGAGCGUGUGCCCGGGUGAGAAUCCUGCAUUUCGCUCGAUGUCCGCUGUCCACAGUGCUUGUUCUGAGAGUCACGCUCCUCGGAAUUGGAGCGUAAAUCAGGUGGUAAGUUUCAUCCAAAGCUAAAUAGAAGCUCGAGACCAAUAGCAAACAAGUACCAUGAGGGAAAGAUGAAAAGGACUUUGGAAAGAGAGUUAAAAGUGUUUGAAAUUGCUGAGAGCGAAGCGAACGGAGCCACAUGUCGUGCUGAGAUUGCUGUGGGUCUUUGUGAGCCUUGAGCAUGUAAGCGCAAGCUGACUGCUUAUGCGUGAGCAUUUGCCCGCAGUGUUUCUCAGCAUGCGAGUCAUUAGCCACAUUUGUUUGAGGAUGGCCUUCAGCUCACAUGGUACACUUGUUAGUGUGCCUCUGUGCGGUGUGGGACUCAGACAGGUGUGGCUUGUUGACCCAGUGGUUUUUUUCGACCCGUCUUGAAACACGGA